UUCCGGUUGAUCCUGCCGGACCCUACUGCUAUCGGGGCGGGACUAAUACAUGCAAGUCGUGCGUCUCUAAGCCAUGGUAGAGACGCGGCGUACGGCUCAGUAACACGUGGCUAACCUACCCUUAGGACGGAGACAACCCCGGGAAACUGGGGCUAAUACCUGAUAGGUGAGGAGGCCUGGAAUGGUUCUUCGCUGAAAAGGCGUUGAAACCAUGCUUUUCAACGUCGCCUAAGGAUGGGGCCGCGCCCGAUCAGGUUGUUGGUGGGGUAACGGCUCACCAAGCCUAUAACCGGUACGGGCCGUGAGAGCGGGAGCCCGGAGAUGGGCACUGAGAUAAGGGCCCAGGCCCUACGGGGCGCAGCAGUCGCGAAAACUCCGCAAUGCGCGAAAGCGUGACGGGGCUACCCCGAGUGCCGUCCGCUGAGGAUGGCUUUUCCUCGGUGUAAUGAGCCGGGGGAAUAAGGAGGGGGCAAGUCUGGUGUCAGCCGCCGCGGUAAUACCAGCUCUCCGAGUAGUAGGGACGAUUAUUGGGCUUAAAGCGUCCGUAGCCGGCUUAGCAAGUCUCCUGUUAAAUUCAGCGACCUAAUCGUUGAGCCGCGGGAGAUACUACUAGGCUAGGAGGCGGGAGAGGCCGACGGUAUUCCCGGGGUAGGGGUGAAAUCCUAUAAUCCCGGGAGGACCACCAGUGGCGAAGGCUGUCGGCUAGAACGCGCUCGACGGUGAGGGACGAAAGCUGGGGGAGCGAACCGGAUUAGAUACCCGGGUAGUCCCAGCUGUAAACGAUGCGGGCUAGGUGUUGAGGUGGCUACUAGCCACUUCAGUGCCGCAGGUAAGCCAUUAAGUCCGCCGCCUGGGGAGUACGGCCGUCAAGGCUGAUACUUAAGGAUUGGCGGGGGGAGCACCACAGGCGUGAAGCUUGCGGUCCAGUGGGAGUCACGCGAGA
rnacentral:rRNA from 1 species